UGGUCAUAUGGUACUUCUAUUUUUAAUUUUUUGAGGAACCACCAAACUGUUUAUCACAGUGGCUGCACCAUUUUACAUUCCCCCCAGCAAAGUGUGAGGGUUCCAAUUUCUGGAAUGUUGGUGAGCAU